AGUCUCUCAGAGCAAGAACCGUCCCACCUUUGCAGUCUUGAGAUUGAGAAACACCGCCCACACCUCAUUCGUGUAAAAGAGGAAAUGAUUUGGUUUCAUGUUUCCUGUUAGUACAUCUAGAGGAACCAGGCAGCAGCUCUCAGCAGAUUCUAACUUUGGAGCAACGAUGAAGAUGUAUUCAUCUGUCACGUUCGCCCGAGUCGGCACCUUUGUCACAAUCAUUGUGGUUUUUAUCUACAAGGUUGUGCUUGACAGGGAUUACAAGUGCGAUUGUGAUGGUAGCGGUUAUCACUGUGUUUUGUACAUGGUUAUACCAUUUACAGUUUUAUUUGUGUUACAACUCUGGACGAUCAAGAAAUGCCGACGUAAAAGUGAGGGAUGUGAUAAGACUUGUAUUAAGUACAUGUGGAAACCGCUUCUCAAGGCAUUUGUAGUUGGUCUGCUCUGGGUUACCUCUUUGUUAAUUGAUGGAGACUGGGCUGUUUGCUAUUUCCACAAAGACUUAGCCUGCAAAGACAAAAACAACUUCAACUCUACGGAACAGGAGACCUUCUCCAAUGUGAAAUCAAUUUCAGAGUACCUCGGCUGGGGUCUCAUCUUGGUUAUUCUUGCUGUGGUUUCGGGAAUGAGAUGGUUCUCAUGCCGUAGGAAUGCAAACUGUAUGAGAAACUGAAGUUGAAACAGAAGGAACAUGUGCUGAAACAGAUAGCAAUAGAAGAUUUGAAAGAAGAACUCACACUAGAUUGGGUAGAAGAAAGAUCAGACGUACUAGUCGAAGCAGCAGACAAGGCAGUAGACAGAGCAGCCGGAAGAGCCAGAGAUACCAAAAAAAUCAGAAAAGCCGGAGUAGACGCAGCAGCCGAAGGAAAAAACAUAGACAAAGUCAACGCAGCCAAAGCAGACGCAGCAAACAGAGCAGCAAACGGAGCAGCAGUCAGAAUAGCAGCCAGAGGAGACAUAGACAGACGGAUCGCUUUUUUAUCAGAAAAAAAGGUGACUACGUUUUUGGAAAGGCUGAAUAAAGAUCCAUCAGCUGAUCCUCAGCAUCCUGAGCCUUUUGGUUACAAGGACCACUCAGCCCAGAGAAGUUUGAUUCUUCAUGAAACAAGUUGUAUUCUGCAUUGUCAUGACAACAAACAAACAGAAGACAGAGCAACUUUCAUCGCAAUUGUUAACAAAAGCUGCCACAAAAUCAGACAUUUUGGGCCCAACAAUCUCAAAAAAAGGCCUCAAAAUCCUGGAGGGACUGACUAAUCAGAUCUAUAAUCAUAUCUGCUCAACUGACCAUCAAUAUCUUCAUCUUCAUCAGUUUCCUACAGUUUUAGAGCCCAAACUGGGACAAGGAGAGCAUACGUUGUGAAGCUUUUUCAUUUAUUGAUCCCUUUCAAUAUAAACAU